GCAGCGUUUGUAUCCAGGAUACUUUGUUGAUAGUGGGAGGAAGUGGAGAAGCGUCGUCCAUCUUUAUCUUCAACUUUUCUUGGCAAAGGAGACGUCUGACGGUGUGGGUGUCUGGCUCUGAUGAGACCUGCUGGUUAAUCCACAGUUUUCCUCCACGUCAGGCUUCAGCAGGAGGGAGAGGAGGAAGAAACGAAGCAGCAAUACAUGACAAGAACUGGUGCAGCUUAAUUGGAGAACAGAUUUGAGAUCGGGAAGUCAGUUUAUUUAUAGAGCACAUAUGUACAUUUUAGAUUCCAUUUAAGGUUCUUUUUAUAGCUUACUAAAGGUUCUUAAUGGUCUGAGUCCUCAGUAAAUCUUUUAUCCUCAUACAACCCUGCUCGCACUUUGAGAUCCUUUGGCAUGAGCCUUUUAACUGUUCCAGAUUCUCGGCUAAAGACUACGGGGACGGAGCUUAUGAAAUAAGAGCUCAGAG